ensembl:lncRNA
UCUAAAAUUAUUAGAUAUAAUGAAUUCUAAAUAUAGGUGUAGAUUAUAUAGAAUGUAUAUAAUUGAAGCACCUAAAAUCUUCAAAACUUUUGGUAAGUCUUUUUUAAAUUUUGCACCAUCUUAUAUUGCUGAAAAAUUAAGAAUUUUAGAUGGUAGUUAUAGAACUUAUUUAAAAGAAGAAAUAUUAGAAACACAAUUAGAAAAAAAAUAUGGUGGUAUACAAGAAAUAGAAAAUGAUUCGUAUUAUCCCUUUCGCUUUUAUCCUAAAUGUUAUAUUAAUGAUAAGAAUAGCACUGGUAUUGUUAGUAGUAGUAGUAAUAGUAAUAGCAGUAGUACUCAUAGUAAUAAUGCAAAUGGUAGUACGAACAAAACUAGUCAACUAAACAAAGGCAAUAAACUUGCAAAAAUAGAUAUUUUUAGCAAAAAUAAUAACAAAAUACAUGAAUACGUAACUGCUGGUUAUUCAAUGCAUUUGGAAUUAGUGGAAGUAGGUAGUAAAGAAUAUGACAAUUUGCAACAUUCAUAUUUAAAUAAUAAAUCGACUUGUAAAACCGAUAAACUAGAUUCUAGUGAAACGCAUACAGAGAGCAAAGAAAACGAUAAAACUGGCACGAACUGCAACAGCAAUGGUAAUAUUAAUAGGGAUGGUGGAAGAAAUACAAGUUACAACAGUCGAGAUAGUACAAUAUAUACCAUGAUGAAUAGCCAAUUGAGUAACGACAUAAAUAUAAUCGAUAGCAAUUCGAGUACAAAAAGGAAUCAGAAAAAUUAUAUAAAUAAUACAGACGAACAUAUUAUACACGAUAUUUUUGUUAAUUCAGUUAAAGAAAAGGAAUUCCAUAUUGAUAAUAAUAGUGACAUAUAUACAGAUACUACUACUACUACUACUAAUAAUAAUAAUAAUAAAAGUAGUAACCGUACCAUUAGCAAUAAUGUCGUUAAAAAUAAUCGUUUUGGCAAGAAUAGUAGUAACGAACGUAACAAACGUAACAAAAGUAGUAAUAACAAAUGUCAUAGCUUUCUGAAAAAUCAUAAUUUUAUUAAUGUGAAAAGCAAAUUUGUUGUAAAUACCAAAAGCUCUUAUCAAUGGCUAUAUAAGUUGAAAUAUUUAUUUUUAUCUAAUAUAACUAUUAAUUAUUUAUUAAAACGUUUUCCCCUUUUAAGUAACUAUGUAAUAGAUAAAGCUCAAUUUAUUACAAUGUAUGAUUAUUUUAAAUAUGUGGAUAAUAAGAUAAACAAUAAAGACAUGACACUGUGUAAUGAUGAGUUUAAGAGUAGACAUAGUGGUGAUAAAAUUGGUGUUAAUGUUGUCACUGCAAAUACAACAAACAAAUAUAAGAAGAGUAGUACAUUAAUUUCGAACACUAAAAAAAAAAAUAUCAGUGAAAAUAUAUUUUUGAAUAGGAUACAAUCAUCAAGUAAUAAUAUGUACGUUAAUAAAAAACGUAUGAACACAAUGGAAAAAGAUAAUACUUCCAAUAAUUGUAUUACUUCUAAUAAUUAUAAUAAUAAUAAUAAUAAAUUAGAAAUAGAUAAUAAAAAAAUUGAAAGUAAUAUUGUACAAAAUAUAUGUAACUCAAGUAGUUUAAAAAUAAAAAAAAAAAUAAAUAAAAAAAUAAACGAAGGAAUAGAUAAUGAUGGAAAUAAAAAUGAAUCGAACAAUACAGAAAAAAUGAAUUUUUACAGAAACAUGUCGGCUUUUUUUAAUGAUACUGCUGCUUGUAGUAAAGCGCAGAUGGAAACAAAAAAAAGUCAAAAGAGUGAUAGGAAGCUUGGAAUGGAAAAAACAGUGGAAAGUUACAAAAUAGAAAGAGCACCUAAUACAAACGAGGUUAACAACUGGGAAACAAAAGUGUUGAUCACAACACGUAAGACAGUCGAGAUAGACAAUAUAGAGAAAAAAAAAAAAAUGUAUAAAAUAAAAAUUGCAGCCAACCUAUUUAAAGAAGAGUCAAACAAACUACAGAAAAAAGAAAAUAUAAAAGAACAUACUAAUAAAAAAAUACAGGUUCUUAAUAUAAAAAAUAAAAACAUGUUAGAAGAUAAUAAAAAUAUGCAAGAUAGUACGAAGCAAGGGAAAAAUAAUGAGUGUUAUAUAAAAAAAAAAAGUACUAGCAAAACUAGUAAUAGUAGUAAUACUAACUACAUGAAUAUGCAUAAAUUACCUAUUAAAAAAAAAAUAGAUCGUAAUAUUAUAACUAUGGAAAAUAAAGAUAUGGUUAAUAUAAAUCAAAAAGUAUACAAAAAGGUAGACGAAACUGUAUUACAAAAAAAUGAUUCUAAUAGAACCAUAAGUACAAAAAUAUCAAAAAGCACAAUCUCUUAUGAUUUAGAUAGUGAAAAUAAUUUAUAUGUUAAUGAAACGGGAAAUUAUAAAAUAAGUAAAAAAAAUAAUGAUAAAAAAAAAUUAAGAUCUUCUUUCAAUUCUGAUGUAUUAGCAACUAAAUCGGUAAAUGAGGUAACCAUUCAAGUGAAAAAGGAGCUGAAAACUGAGAAAAAUGAGAAAAAGGAGUUGAAAAAUGAGAAGAAGGAGUUGAAAAAUGAAAAAAAUGAAAAAAAUGAAAAAAAUGAAAAAAAUGAGAAAAAGGAGUUGAAAAAUGAGAAGAAGGAGUUGAAAAAUGAGAAAAAUGAGAAAAAUGAAAAAAAUGAAAAAAAUAAAAAAAAUGAAAAAAAUGAGAAAAAUGAGAAAAAUGAAAAAAUAGAGUUGAACAAUGUGAACAAAAUAUCUAACUCAGUUAUUCAUAAACCCAAUACAUUAGGUAAGAAGUAUAAUUCACUAAUGAAUAUUACAAAAGAAAAAGAUCAAACUUUGCCUAUUAUUGUGGAAGAAGAAAAAAAUGGCAAAGGUGGUAUACUGAGAAAAAGUAAAAGGGGGUUUAGCAAUAUUAAACUUUUAGGUAUGCGUUUUUUUAAUAAGUCAGCUACAAAACCGUAGGUAGUAAAAUGUUUUGUUUUAUAGUUUAUGUAAAGAAAUUAUAUUAAAUAUAUACAUAUAGAUAUAUUUAUGUAUAAGUUUACUUAUAAAAAGGUGUUUAAAAAAAAAAAAAAAAAAAAAAAAAGUAUAAACAAAACUAAGUGAAGGUAUAAGUUAAGAAUCAAUAAAAUUGGAGAAUAUACGCUAGUGACA